rnacentral:tRNA from 1 species
UCCUCCUUAGUAUAGUGGUGAAUAUCCCUGCUUGUCACACAGGAGACCAGGGUUUGAUUCCCUGACGGGGAG